rnacentral:ncRNA from 1 species
CAGCUGAAUUAGUGUUUGGCACAGGUAGGAUUUUAAUAACUCAAACUAAUGUUAAAACAACUAGUUGAGUUCACACACUAAGGAUUUAUUAUGUCUUUAAAUGCUACAGAAAAAGCAGCAAUCGUUGCAGAAUAUGCUCAAAAAGA